rnacentral:rRNA from 1 species
AACCUUUACACUGCACGCCAGUGCGAUAGGGGGACACCGAGUGCGAGGGCAUAGAGCCCUCGCUUUUGUAGACCGUAAGGAGGUCUACGAAUAAGGGCUGGGCAAGACCGGUGCCAGCCGCCGCGGUAACACCGGCAGCCCGAGUGAUGGCCGAUAUUAUUGGGCCUAAAGCGUCCGUAGCCGGCCGGACAAGUCCGUUGGGAAAUCGACGCGCUCAACGCGUCGGCGUCCAGCGGAAACUGUCCGGCUUGGGGCCGGAAGACCUGAGGGGUACGUCCGGGGUAGGAGUGAAAUCCUGUAAUCCUGGACGGACCACCAAUGGGGAAACCACCUCAGGAAGACGGACCCGACGGUGAGGGACGAAAGCUAGGGUCUCGAACCGGAUUAGAUACCCGGGUAGUCCUAGCUGUAAACGAUGCUCGCUAGGUGUGCCGUAGGCUACGAGCCUGCGCUGCGCCCUAGGGAAGCCGAGAAGCGAGCCGCCUGGGAAGUACGUCCGCAAGGAUGAAACUUAA